rnacentral:pre_miRNA from 1 species
UCUUACAGAUGAGCAAAGAAAGUGGUUCUUUGAGAUGCAAUCUACUCAUGGUGAAUAUGCUGUGAA